rnacentral:pre_miRNA from 1 species
UGUGAAUCCAGCUGGUUUAAGGCUGCAGGCCCACUUCCCUUGACCAGUUUUUUUUUAAUCACAGGGAGUGGGUAAAGUGGCCCUAAACCACCAAAAUGGAUUAUACAU